AACGAACGCUGGCGGCAGGCCUAACACAUGCAAGUCGAGCGAGGACUUCGGUCCUAGCGGCGGACGGGUGAGUAACGCGUGGGAACGUGCCCUUUGCUUCGGAAUAGCCCUGGGAAACUGGGAGUAAUACCGGAUGAGCCCUUUGGGGGAAAGAUUUAUCGGCGAAGGAUCGGCCCGCGUUGGAUUAGGUAGUUGGUGGGGUAAUGGCCUACCAAGCCGACGAUCCAUAGCUGGUUUGAGAGGAUGAUCAGCCACACUGGGACUGAGACACGGCCCAGACUCCUACGGGAGGCAGCAGUGGGGAAUCUUAGACAAUGGGGGAAACCCUGAUCUAGCCAUGCCGCGUGAGCGAUGAAGGCCUUAGGGCUGUAAAGCUCCUUCAGCUGGGAAGAUAAUGACGGUACCAGCAGAAGAAGCCCCGGCUAACUCCGUG
rnacentral:rRNA from 1 species